AAUAACUAUGGGAAAAAAUAAUCCAUCACAAACUUUUAUUUUCUAGACAACUGGUAAGAAAAGUAUAGUACUUUCCAGUGAAACUAGGAAAGAACUAGCCAAGCAAGCCAAAGUCAUCAGAGAGGAGAGAAGAGCACAGAUAGAUGAACGACACAAGUAUUUGAUAUCAAGAUUGGCAGAUGGGAUGGGUUUAAGUGAGCAGCAAGUGGAGGAGGCCAUUAUUUCUGAUGACAAGGUAAAUAUUAAUUAUCACUAAAUGAUCGUUAUUAAAUACCUUUCCAAAAUUUCCAGUCUUUUGAAACUGCUUCACAACUAACUACCAUUAUAAUUUUAUUUUUAGUUUCAACUUAUAGAACAAUUCUUUGCCUCUAGUGGACUUAAAAAGUUACUCUUCUUUUACCAAGAUGUCUUGCAGAAGUCGAAUGCUUCCUUGAGGUCAGAUGGGUCAACAAACAGUAUGCUUCAGAAGAAGUUAUUUCUUACCAUGGGUGCUACUGAGAAGCAUACUUUCACCAACAGUGGACUAUGUCAGGACUGCAGACUGGAAGCCUGAAGAGUUUUCAUUUGCUAACCAUUGAAAUGAUAAUAAAAAGCAUUAAAAAAAAAAAGCA
rnacentral:lncRNA from 1 species